rnacentral:rRNA from 1 species
CACGUAGGGCGCAAGCGUUGUCCGGAAUUAUUGGGCGUAAAGAGCUCGUAGGCGGUCUGUUGCGUCCGCUGUGAAAACUCGGGGCUUAACCCCGAGCCUGCAGUGGAUACGGGCAGACUAGAGGUAGGUAGGGGAGAAUGGAAUUCCCGGUGUAGCGGUGAAAUGCGCAGAUAUCGGGAGGAACACCGGUGGCGAAGGCGGUUCUCUGGGCCGUACCUGACGCUGAGGAGCGAAAGCGUGGGGAGCGAACAGGAUUAGAACCUUCGGUAGU